GCUGAAACUCGCCUACAUGAAGCUGGAGUUACUAGUAAUCGCAGAUCAGAAUGCUGCGGUGAAUGCGUUCCCGGGUCUUGUACACACCGCCCGUCACACCACGGAAGUUGGGGCGCCCGAAGCCACUUAGCUAACCCAUUUGGGAAGCGAGUGUCGAAGGUGAAAUCAAUAACUGGGGUGAAGUCGUAACAAGGUACC
rnacentral:rRNA from 1 species